GGCCUACCAAGGCGUCGACGGGUAGCCGGCCUGAGAGGGUGUACGGCCACAUUGGGACUGAGAUACGGCCCAGACUCCUACGGGAGGCAGCAGUGGGGAAUAUUGCACAAUGGGCGGAAGCCUGAUGCAGCGACGCCGCGUGGGGGAUGAAGGCCUUCGGGUUGUAAACUCCUUUCGACAGGGACGAAGCGUAAGUGACGGUACCUGUAUAAGAAGCACCGGCUAACUACGUGCCAGCAGCCGCGGUAAUACGUAGGGUGCGAGCGUUGUCCGGAAUUACUGGGCGUAAAGAGCUCGUAGGUGGUUUGUCGCGUCGUCUGUGAAAUUCCGGGGCUUAACUCCGGGCGUGCAGGCGAUACGGGCUGACUUGAGUGCUGUAGGGGAGACUGGAAUUCCUGGUGUAGCGGUGAAAUGCGCAGAUAUCAGGAGGAACACCGAUGGCGAAGGCAGGUCUCUGGGCAGUAACUGACGCUGAGGAGCGAAAGCAUGGGUAGCGAACAGGAUUAGAUACCCUGGUAGUCCAUGCCGUAAACGGUGGGCGCUAGGUGUAGGGGGCUUCCACGUCUUCUGUGCCGUAGCUAACGCAUUAAGCGCCCCGCCUGGGGAGUACGGCCGCAAGGCUAAAACUCAAAGGAAUUGACGGGGGCCCGCACAAGCGGCGGAGCAUGUGGAUUAAUUCGAUGCAACGCGAAGAACCUUACCUG
rnacentral:rRNA from 1 species